rnacentral:piRNA from 1 species
CACUUCACCACAGCUGAGGCCAGCACCCAG